UUGGCUGUUUUCACUGCUGUUCUCCCUAUACAGUAAAUGACAUGAUCCAAUGUUACAAGCUCACAAAAUUUGUGGUAUGCAUGGUGGGCACACCGACAGUACAAUGCCCAGAAAAGUUUUGGUUUUGGAAGCAUACUAGGUUUGGAGACAUAUCCAAAAUGCAGGAAGCUGAAAAAAUGUUAAUGUGUCAUUAAAAAAAAAAAGAGGAAGAAAACACUCUUCUUGUUUUCUUCCUUAGCUGUGGAUUGCGGCAUUCCAGAGCUUCCUGAAUUAAUGGAACUAUCAGAUAAAGAUCCUCCAACAACUUAUCUGAACCAGAUCAGUCUUAAGUGCGAAAAUGUAUAUUAUCAACUGGAUAAAAAUGGUAAUUUGACCUGUAAUGCUGAGGGUAACUGGGUGUCCGAGAGUGGUCAACAAUUAACAGAAGAUUUGCCUAAAUGUGAACCAGUGUAUGGAAUUAAUACAGAGGCCUCUAUUGGUGGCAG